rnacentral:rRNA from 1 species
GAAUGGCGGCGUUCUAUACAUGCAAGUCGAGCGAGUCUCUUCGGAGGCUAGCGGCGGACGGGUGAGUAACACGUAGGCAACCUGCCUCUCAUAUUGGGAUAACAUAGGGAAACUUAUGCUAAAACCGGAUAGGUUUUUGGAUUGCAUGAUCCGAAAAGAAAAGAUGGCUUCGGCUAUCACUGGGAGAUGGGCCUGCGGCGCAUUAGCUAGUUGGUGGGGUAACGGCCUACCAAGGCGACGAUGCGUAGCCGACCUGAGAGGGUGACCGGCCACACUGGGACUGAGACACGGCCCAGACUCCUACGGGAGGCAGCAGUAGGGAAUUUUCCACAAUGGACGAAAGUCUGAUGGAGCAACGCCGCGUGAACGAUGAAGGUCUUCGGAUUGUAAAGUUCUGUUGUUAGGGACGAAUAAGUACCGUUCGAAUAGGGCGGUACCUUGACGGUACCUGACGAGAAAGCCACGGCUAACUACGUGCCAGCAGCCGCGGUAAUACGUAGGUGGCAAGCGUUGUCCGGAUUUAUUGGGCGUAAAGCGCGCGCAGGCGGCUAUGUAAGUCUGGUGUUAAAGCCCGGGGCUCAACCCCCGGUUCGCAUCGGAACUGUGUAGCUUGAGUGCAGAAGAGGAAAGCGGUAUUCCACGUGUAGCGGUGAAAUGCGUAGAGAUGUGGAGGAACACCAGUGGCGAAAGCGGCUUUCUGGUCUGUAACUGACGCUGAGGCGCGAAAGCGUGGGGAGCAACAGGAUUAGAUACCCUGGUAGUCCACGCCGUAACGAUGAGUGCUAGGUGUUGGGGGGUUUCAAUACGCCUCAGUGCCGCAGCUAACGCAAUAAGCACCUCCGCCUGGGGAGUACGCUCGCAGAGUGAAACUCAAGGAAUUGACGGGGCCCGCACAAGCGGUGGGAGGCAUGGUGGUUAAUUCGAAGCACGCGAGAGCUUUGACCAGUCUGAACAUCCCGCUGGACCGCGUCUGAGACAGAGCUUGCCUUCAGGCAACCGGUGACCGUUGUGCAUGGCUGUCGUCAGCUCUGUUCAUGCAAUGUUAGGUUAGUUCGCAACGAAGCGCACCUUAUCAUAGUUGCCAGCAUCACUGGAUA